GGCAAAAGUGGAAUUGGGUACAUUCUAUCUAGCACUCCAGGAUAAGCAGGCAAUGCAAUGCAGCGUGGGGUAGAUCCAAGGACAUUUUGUUCUUUAGCAGAGACUGACAAACUCAUUUAGUAGCAACGAUUCACAGUCCACCAGAAAAUGCUGAAUCUCACUUACAGACAUAGUGAAAUUCAAGCAAAGACAGCCAAAUCGCUCUGAAAGCUAUUUUAGACACGCAUAUUUUAAUAACAUAAAUCUUUAUUUUUCUUAACAAAAGAGCCCCGCUAAAUUAUCUGUUACAACAUAGCCCAUGUGAGAAAGAUUGUAAUCCCCACUUCAGAGAUGGAUAAACUGACAAGGGCAGCCUUCUAGAGAGGCGGCAAGAGCCGAAUCUUCCUGACACACAACAGUCCAUGGAGCUUACAUGAAGAGCUCCCACAGUCAGCAAAAUGCAGCCUCUGGGUGCCUAGGGAACCACAAACAUCACAUGUCCCUCUCUCUAGUCCAGCUCCUGUUCACUGUGUACAAUUACUUAGGUAGAGCCGGUUCUCCCCACCAGGCGGUGAGCUUCUUGACAGCACAGGCAAUGUCUAAUAUAUCUUUGUGUAGUCUGGAAAACUAUGGAAGCAAAAUGCCAGACACACAGCAGGUAGCAGAAAAUGUAUGUUAAAUUAAAAAAAAAAAAAAAAAAAAAAAAAAAAAAUUUAAAAUAAAAAAAAAAAAAAAAAAAAAAAAGAGAGAAUGCUGAGUGACUCAGCAAAACAGACCAUCUGAGUGGCACAGUCGGAUGUGUGAAGAGUUCAUUGUAAUAGCAAGAAAUUGGCAACAAUCUAAACAGCAUAAAGGACAAAGUGUAAAUAAUACGUCCACUCUAGGGAAGACUCUGCAGUCACUGGUUGUGAGGCAGGGCUAUUAUCUACUGACACAGACAAAAGCAAACACAAUAGCAGAUGAAAAAUUCUAGAAAAAUAAAUAAGGAAUUCUUAGCCAGAUUAUCCUUGGAAUAAGGAGUGAUAUAAGGAAUACGAGCAGUUGAGUUGAAUUUGUUCACUCUAUACAUUUUCUGAAAUGUUUGAAUUUUUAAGUAUGUAUUAUGUACAGAUUUCUUAAUGGGUAAUUAAAAUUUUUUUUGAAAAAAAUCUUAGAGGGAUUUCAAAAUCCCCUUGAAGUAGAAUUUAAUGCAAGUAUCCAGGUUAACAAUCUGUGCAAUUAAAUCCACUGAGUAAAUGAAACACUCUAAAGUGGACCCAUCAAGUUCCAUGAAAUGUCAAGACAAGUAAAAUAAUGAAGUCAUUUUGUGGGCGCUCAUGGCGUCCCCCAUCGUGCUCUCAGACCAGCUUUUCCUUGGCACAAUGCUUUGGAAAACCAGCCCCUGCUAGCCUGCUAAAGAUGUGAGUUAUUUCAACCCAAUAAUAUUUAUUGGGCACGCCCCCCCCUCCCCCAUGCA
rnacentral:lncRNA from 1 species